CAAUAGCGUAUAUUUAAGUUGCUGCAGUUAAAAAGCUCGUAGUUGGAUUUCGGGUGGGAAUGGCCGGUCCGCCGUUUCGGUGUGCACUUGCUACGCCCACCUUGCUGCCGGGGACGUGCUCUUGAGUUCACGCUCGGGACACGGAGUCGGCGAGGUUACUUUGAGUAAAUUAGAGUGUUCAAAGCAGGCCUACGCUCUGAAUACAUUAGCAUGGAAUAACACGAUAGGACUCUGGCCUAUCUUGUUGGUCUGUAGGACCGGAGUAAUGAUUAAGAGGGACAGUCGGGGGCAUUCGUAUUUCAUUGUCAGAGGUGAAAUUCUUGGAUUUAUGAAAGACGAACUACUGCGAAAGCAUGUGCCAAGGAUGUUUUCAUUAA
rnacentral:rRNA from 1 species